rnacentral:rRNA from 1 species
GACGAACGCUGGCGGCGUGCUUAACACAUGCAAGUCGAACGGAAAGGCCCUGCUUUUGUGGGGUGCUCGAGUGGCGAACGGGUGGGUAACACGUGAGUAACCUGCCCUUGACUUUGGGAUAACUUCAGGAAACUGGGGCUAAUACCGGAUAGGAGCUCCUGCUGCAUGGUGGGGGUUGGAAAGUUUCGGCGGUUGGGGAUGGACUCGCGGCUUAUCAGCUUGUUGGUGGGGUAGUGGCUUACCAAGGCUUUGACGGGUAGCCGGCCUGAGAGGGUGACCGGCCACAUUGGGACUGAGAUACGGCCCAGACUCCUACGGGAGGCAGCAGUGGGAAAUAUUGCACAAUGGGCGGAAGCCUGAUGCAACAACGCCGCGUGCGGGAUGACGGCCUUCGCGUUGUAAACCGCUUUCGCCUGUGACGAAGCGUGAGUGACGGUAAUGGGUAAAGAAGCACCGGCUAACUACGUG